GGAUUAUUAUUAUUUUUUUAUCUGCAAUAGUCUUGCAUUAAAGCCCAAAAAAGAGCAAAGAGCUACAAGAGUCUAGAUCCAUGAAAAAUACAAGUAAGCCCAUCCAACAUCAAGUCCAUUACCCAGACUCAAUCACUGUCACCCAGCACCACACAUAAAAACUAGAGUAGCAGAAAUAAACACAGGUCACCACCAAUAUUGGGGAGAAAAAAAAAAGGAUCACCGGAGGUAAAAAGCAAAAAUGACCCAAUAUACUUUGCAAGCUUCCAUAGAAGCCAACCAAAGCCUAUCAGGUAGCAAACAUAGCAGCACCAAUAACAUCUCCAGCGGCAGUAACAGGUAAAGUUUAGACACACAGAAGGAGAAGGAGCAAUGCCAUGGCAUUUCAGUCUUUCAUAGCUAUGAGGUGCCAGACUUCAAGUUGCUUAGCUUACUGGGACCAAAGGAUAAAUCCUCCUUAAUUUCCAUCCUCACCGCCACCAUGCGAAUCUAAAUCUCAUCUCAGCAAAAGAAGACGGCGACCAAUACAUAUAAAGUAAUUGAUCCCAAAUCGCGAGACUCCUGCAC
rnacentral:misc_RNA from 1 species